ACUCACAUCCUGAGCAAUUGCACGAAGAAAAACACGAAAUCUUAACUCAAUUAUCUGCCUCAUAUCGCGUUACGGUAUGUAAAAUAGCCUUAUAACAAGCUGAAGAUAGAUUUUUGUCCCUGAGACAUAGGUGCACCCUCUGGACAUGAUCUGUGCUCAUUACUAUAAAACUAUUGUGCCUUGUCCUUUAGGUACAUAUAAAGACAGAAUACACAUUUGCGAAGAAAAAAGACACACAAUAAGACACUCUGAUUGCUAAAUAAAGAGUGUGAACAUUAUUUAGGAUAAUUGUGAAUAAAACUACUUAUUUGCUCUAUGCACAUAUACACCCAUCACACAAAUAACGCCAUGUCAAUUUCUACAUUUUCCCUCCUUAUGUGUCCUGUAUUCCAUAUAUUUGCACAGGCUAAUAUACCUAUUAGCGUCUUCUAAUCACACCAGGUACCAUUCAUCAUAACCCCACACCUCUUACAAAAAUGUUAUGAUAGGCUACUGACAUCAUCUGGACACCCCGCUGCAGCCUGCUAAUCCCCCCGCUGCAAAUAUCCUCCUAACACACCAGGUCAGAGAGGCCAAAUCUGAGGUCUCAGAAGUCAGAGCUUUUUUUUUUUUUUUUUUUUUGCUUUAUGUGGUCAAAACGUGAAAUGACUGCAGCUUUAAAUAGGGACUGUAUUUAAAAAAAUGUCCCCUUGAGGUCAAAGGCCAUGCCCCUUCACAUUAAGGUGAAAGUUAAGCCACUUCCUGAUAAACAAUAAAAAAUGUGUUUUGUGGUCAUUUAGAUGCUUUAAAAUCAGAUGUCUUAGAAUAAAGAUAAUUGUGGAUGAUGGUAAACACAGUGAAGGAUGCCGUGCAUGUAAAUCAGUGGUUGCACCAGACAUGGUUAAUAUUGUUUUUAGGCUAUUUAAACAGCAGUAAAGACUGGUGUACUUUAUGCCCAGAGGCUAUCAAAGUUGAACUGCAGGUAAAACUUCACAGAGCCCUGCAGAUGAACCUAUAGCCUGUCUAUAGAGAGCAGCAGCAGCAGCAGCAUGCAUUGUGUCCCAGGAUGUAUUACAGUAUAUGGGUGCCCCCUAGCGUAUGAAGUUCUUGCUUCAAAUAAGAUUCAAUUUAGAGGAGCCAUCCGACACGGAAACUGCUUCAGUCUCUUUCUCCCGCAUCGACCAAACUAACGAGCACCAUUUUUUUUUUAAACUGAUGACUUUGUUUGUUUAAAUUCUGUUUUACAUGACUUGGAUGGCAAAGCUUUCAGAGUUGCCAAAGAAGUUGGAUUUACUUUUUUUUUUUUUUUUUUUUACCACUUCAGGCAGUCCCAGCGGUGGUAUUAUUUAGACCAAUUAUUUCUUUAUUCUAAAAAAAAACAAACAAAUGAGCCGAUUAUAUUUUGUCUGCAUGACUAUUUUGUCGGUUUUUAUUUACAAAAGAGGUGAAAAUGGAGAGUCUGUAAAUAAAAAAACAACACCCCCGAAAGGUGUAUCCAUUUAUCGAGGAGGAUCCUGCAGCUUCAAAUGAGUGAAAGUGGCCAAAGCUUCCUCUCCAGGAUGAAACACACAAAAAAAAGCACGCAGUUUAUUGGAAAAUUAGGUAAAAUGUCUUGAUCAUGCAAAAACUUUGGAGAUAUAGCCGGAAUAAACAACUGAUUCACGGUCAUGUGUUGUUGUUGAGGUGUCUUCCGAGCAGAAUAUCAUUUGACUGCCUUCUGGAAAUAAUCAGUAAGGUUUUUACAGCGAAAGCAGAGAGAUCCUGUGCGCCUUUUCUCUCCUCUACAGUAUAAUAAUAUGGCCAAAACGCGCUGCUUUGUGUGGGCUGCUGAGGAGAGAGGGAGGGGGUGAAGUCACAACAGACACCUGUCUGUCUGUCUUUAAGUGAGGCGAGCAUGCAUUGUGACAUAUUACUAAUUAUACUGGAGAUUGGGAGUAUAAAGAUGCAAUAAGAUAUGUGAUUAGAGCUGUAAUUAAAACUGCUAAAAAAUUUAAUUUUAUUGUAAAAAAUAAACGUGCAUAAAUUGAGCCAAUAAAAAACUGAUAUUAUUAUUAUUAAUUUUCUUUAAUUAAUAUUAAUAAUUAUAAUAAAACAAAUUAAACAUCAUACAAAUAAUAAAUAAUAUAUAUAUAUUUUUUUUACAGCUUCACCUCUAGCAAUUACACACAAUGCAGAGAAUAAGAAUGCCUAUAUAAUUAAAUGAUAAUAGCCUCAAUUAACCUCGCGUAAAUCUAUACUGGGUUGAGAAAUUGAACACCUUUUUUUUCCACGCAUAAACAUUUCCACACCAGCACAAUUGAUUUGCUAUUAAACCCCCCUCCAGAAGAAAUCUUGUGCUGCAGUUUUUUUUAUUCCCCGGGUUUAAAAGUUUCCUCUCUGUGUGAUUAGUAGCUGUUCUCUCUCUUCAAGCAAGAGGAUAAAAAGCACUAUAUGCUCAGCGAGCACACAACACAACAAUAGCGCAUGCAGCCCAACGGGACCAGUAUCGAUUAAGACGAGAAAGAGGAUGUCGCCUGCACUAAAUAUUUACUGAUCACACACAAAUAGCUGGAUCUUUAACGAUUUCCCAUGCUCCCUGGCUGGGAGAGAGGACUAAAUCACUUUAUUAUUGUUAGUAAAACAAAGCACACGCGCUGGAACACAGGAGUGGAGAUGUGCUGAUUGGGAUAAGUGCAGUUAAAUUAAUCGAUAGCGAGGAGAUAAUAAGUUGAGAUUUACGGGCGUGCAAAGAAAAAGCUUUCACUCAUGUAUCAGGUUAAAAAAGACACAUUGGUAAUUCCUCUUAUACAGCCAAACGCGCGCGUAAAAACUGCGUUUAAAGGCAACAGAUUGGAGACAAAAACUACACAACUAUCAGAGUGGAUUGGGUUAAAAAUUCUUGCAUAUAAUUUUUUUUUUUUUUUUUAGAUGAUCUAAAAAUAAAAAUGAGUGUGCUGAUGAAAGAAGGAAACCCCUGUCACACUGGUGUAAAAAAGUCAAAAACUUGGGAUGAAAGUUGACUUUAAUCUCAUCUCUCGCCUCCAGCAAGUCCUUCAUGCAGAUAGGAGGGUUUCUGACCUGGAGGUCUCCAAGUUCCCAACCUGAUUAACCCCUCCAGACCCGCGCAGUAGCAAAUGUUAACCAUGCUAAUCAACUUCAAGAGUCUGAUUGAAUUAGAUGACUGGGGUGGAAUCAGGACUGAAAAUAAAUUGUGCCACUUAAAAAAAACACCACGAAGAGAAAUGUUUUUGACUUAAUUUAAAUUAACAUAAUAUAUAUAUAUAUAUAUAUAUAUAAAAUAGAGGAAUUAAUUCCAGAUGACUUGUUAAACAGGCAACAGGUUUCAGUUGUUUAAAAAAUUAAUACAAUUAAACAUUUCAAUAUUCAAAACUCUCUUUAAAACAACCACAAAUAGUUUUUUUCUCCUGUUUGAUAAAGAUCACUUGAUUGAUGUUGGUUGUGCCCCAUAUGUCAUAACAGUUUUAUCUGCUGCAUAGCAUCAUAUCAGUAGUAAAGGCGUUAUCUCUCCUCUCUUUAUAGUAGUGUUGUGAUGUUGCAAAUAUGCAAAGAUGAAAAAAAAAACUACACCAAUUAGUGAAAUGUGUGCUUGUACAUUUAGGCUUCAUUUAGGUAAAGAAUAUUUGCUGACAUAAUUAAAGUUUGAAGAAGUUACUUUAGACUCAUAUAGCAAGAUAAUCACAGGAAGAAAUAUAUAAGCUAAAUCUUCUCAGAUAAAUUUAUUUUAACAUCUUAAUUUGCAUGAUAAAAAAAUAUUUGACGAUGGGCAUAAAAGCAGUGAUAUUUAGAGAAUUUUUUGACAUACAGGUUUCAUCGUGAUGCCGUGUGCAUAUUCUUAUAGUUUUCUUUUGAGCCGACUUUCUUUCUUCGUGAUUGAAUCCGUAACUCUUAAACAUGGCUUUUACAGUCUUUAAUGACUAAAGUAUGACUUGUCCUUUAAAUUAUGUUUCUGUCUGUUUGACUUCUUAAUAAUAUGUAAUUACAGAAAAUUGCAUUCCAUUACCACAGUUAACACCCCCUUAUUGUAAAUAUGGUGUGUGUAAGCGAUUUGAUUGUAUGCAUGCACACGUAAGCUAUACAGAAGCAUGUACUGUAUGUGAGAAAAAAUGGGUCUAACAUUCACCUUUCUAUGCGUCAGUGGAAGCAGACAUACGUGUCUUAGAUGAGACAUAAAGAGUUCAUUCAGUGGCGUAGAUCACUUUCACUGUGUCUGCAUGCCCCGAGGCCCGCUAUCUAAAAAGGCAAUAGAUCCCAGAUAACUCACUGUGUUCAAUUUGCCAAUGAUAGAUUAUAGUGCCAAUUUACACAGAUAGGGAUCAAUUUGUCUCAAUGAUCACUCUUUAGGCUGACUGCCAGCGUGCUCUUAAUGUAUUUGUAAAUGCUGGUUGUUUGAAUGGCGGCUGUUAAAGUGAUCAAAACUGUAGAGAUGAUAUGAGAAAUGAUAAAUGAGGUGUUGUUUUGGCUGCUAAAGACUGCAUUGAUGGAGCACACACGUGAUGAUUACUGGAGGCAGCAGCAUUUGCAGCAGCAGUGACCAGAAGGUCAACGGUUUAACUCCAAGAACUCGCUGGGAAAGUCUGGGUGGGGGAAUUGUGUGAUAAGUGCUCUCUAACCCUCAGGAACUACUGCUGAAGUACCCUUCGGCAAAGCAGCUUAAACCCCAUCUGUCCCAGCGGAGCUGCACAGCGACCGGCGGUACAAGACGGCGGUUGUACCGGCCACUUGUGAGAUGUGUCUCUUUGAGUGUGACCUACCCUCCCUUUUCUUUUUAAAAAAGAGGGAGAGUGGGCAGUCCACUCGCCUCACACUUUUUUUUUCUCUCCAUGUACUCAGACAGUGAAAAAGUUUUGGAGAAGACACAAGAGAGAGAAAGCUGUGGCAGCAUUCGGUCCUGAGCCAGACACGGUUCACAUGUGGCCCCAACGGCAGCAGACGGUGUAUUGAAUUACUGUAACUCAAGGUGUAAUGUGGUAGCAGUGUGGGAUAUGUAAGAGUUACACAAACGGAUGUGGAGGAGGCUCGCUCGAGCUUCAGCUUUCUAUUACAGCUAUAACUUUGUUUUCUUAAAUUCCAGCUAUAACCAUUCAACUGAUUGAAAUGGAAACCACACUUUCUAUAGUGAUCAUCAAUGUCUCAUUAUCAUUAGAUUCACCAAUUGUAUCAAACUGCUGAUGUUAUGUGAAAACCUUGUAUCUCUGUUUUAUAGGGUUAAAGAAUUACAUGGUUUGUAGGACGAGGAGAAAACACUUCAAAGCCCGCUGGAUCAACUCAUAAAGCAUGUUAGUAAACUUAAAACCUUCUUAUGUGCUGUGUAUAAUCGCAAUUUGCAGUGUCACACCUGCCACAUCUAUAUAAUAAAGUUUGAAGACAUGAUAUGAGCUGUGUUUUAAUUGAUUUUCUUCAUAAGGUACCUAAUGUCGUGCACUUGCAUUUCAAGAAUUGAUUUUUCCAGUUUUACGAUAUUUUACUGUAAAUGUGUAAAUAAAGCUUUUCUUUCUUUCA